GGGCGUGUAACUCAGUGGUAGAGUGCUCGCUUUGCAUGCGAGAAGUCCAGGGUUCAAACCCCUGCUCGUCCA